AUUGAACGCUGGCGGCAGGCCUAACACAUGCAAGUCGAACGGUAACAGGGAUCAGCUUGCUGAUUCGCUGACGAGUGGCGGACGGGUGAGUAAUGUCUGGGAAACUGCCUGAUGGAGGGGGAUAACUACUGGAAACGGUAGCUAAUACCGCAUAACGUCGCAAGACCAAAGAGGGGGACCUUCGGGCCUCUUGCCAUCGGAUGUGCCCAGAUGGGAUUAGCUAGUAGGUGGGGUAACGGCUCACCUAGGCGACGAUCCCUAGCUGGUCUGAGAGGAUGACCAGCCACACUGGAACUGAGACACGGUCCAGACUCCUACGGGAGGCAGCAGUGGGGAAUAUUGCACAAUGGGCGAAAGCCUGAUGCAGCCAUGCCGCGUGUAUGAAGAAGGCCUUCGGGUUGUAAAGUACUUUCAGCGGGGAGGAAGGGAGUAAAGUUAAUACCUUGGCUCAUUGACGUUACCCGCAGAAGAAGCACCGGCUAACUCCGUG
rnacentral:rRNA from 1 species